AUUGAACGCUGGCGGCAGGCUUAACACAUGCAAGUCGAGCGGAGAUGAGGUGCUUGCACCUUAUCUUAGCGGCGGACGGGUGAGUAAUGCUUAGGAAUCUGCCUAUUAGUGGGGGACAACAUUCCGAAAGGAAUGCUAAUACCGCAUACGCCCUACGGGGGAAAGCAGGGGAUCUUCGGACCUUGCGCUAAUAGAUGAGCCUAAGUCGGAUUAGCUAGUUGGUGGGGUAAAGGCCUACCAAGGCGACGAUCUGUAGCGGGUCUGAGAGGAUGAUCCGCCACACUGGGACUGAGACACGGCCCAGACUCCUACGGGAGGCAGCAGUGGGGAAUAUUGGACAAUGGGCGGAAGCCUGAUCCAGCCAUGCCGCGUGUGUGAAGAAGGCCUUUUGGUUGUAAAGCACUUUAAGCGAGGAGGAGGCUCUUAAGGUUAAUACCCUUGAUGAGUGGACGUUACUCGCAGAAUAAGCACCGGCUAACUCUGUGCCAGCAGCCGCGGUAACAC
rnacentral:rRNA from 1 species